UAUAAAUUAGUGUAUAUGCCCAUUAAUUUUUGUAAUUAUUAGAAACAGUUAAAUUCUGUUAUUUAUAA
rnacentral:tRNA from 1 species